GAUGAACGCUGGCGGCGUGCCUAAUACAUGCAAGUCGAGCGAACAGACGAGGAGCUUGCUCCUCUGACGUUAGCGGCGGACGGGUGAGUAACACGUGGAUAACCUACCCAUAAGACUGGGAUAACUUCGGGAAACCGGAGCUAAUACCGGAUAAUAUAUUGAACCGCAUGGUUCAAUAGUGAAAGACGGUUUUGCUGUCACUUAUAGAUGGAUCCGCGCCGCAUUAGCUAGUUGGUAAGGUAACGGCUUACCAAGGCAACGAGGCGUAGCCGACCGGAGAGGGUGAUCGGCCACACUGGAACUGAGACACGGUCCAGACUCCUACGGGAGGCAGCAGUAGGGAAUCUUCCGCAAUGGGCGAAAGCCUGACGGAGCAACGCCGCGUGAGUGAUGAAGGUCUUCGGAUCGUAAAACUCUGUUAUUAGGGAAGAACAAAUGUGUAAGUAACUAUGCACGUCUUGACGGUACCUAAUCAGAAAGCCACGGCUAACUACGUG
rnacentral:rRNA from 1 species